GAGAAUAACAAAAGUCAUGGGAGGGCAAGAACCUGACCCGUGCAAAACAGAAUUAUCUGAAUCUGUAGUUUGUGAAAUCACAUCUAUUCUUAUUGUAAUAAGUAACUAUGAAUUGAGGGAUCGGGUCUCGUCAAAGAAAUCAGUAUGAACAGAGGCUCUACAAGCGAGAAGAUCUGCACGAGUGUUUUCUUCUCUAAAGAUAUGUCUUACAAAAGAAUUUGUUUAGUUAAUUCUAUAUACAAUUGCACCACCUAUUCUUAAUUGUGCAAGGAACCAAAUCAAUGCCCCUAAAAGAUUGGACCACCAAAGUUGAGUCACAUUCCAGUCACAACCUCCUCCGCGUUAUUUCAAGCGCCAAAACAGCACCCAUCAACUCAGCCACAAAGGAGAUUUUAUUCUCCAAAUUUUGAGAGAAACAACCAAUGGAAAUAGCUAGGUGAUUCCUGAAAAUACAACCACAACCUGCAAUGUUAAGGGGCUCCCUCUAGCGGAACCAUACGUGUUGCACUUCACACCCAACCCCUUAAGGGAGGAUUCUAAUGGACAAAUUCAUGCAUUGCUAGAGAUUAUGGUUUUACCAAUGAUCAUAGCCAUAGCUGAUUGAACAAAAAUACUCUUGUUGUUGAGUUUUUUUUUUUUUUUUUCUGCAGUGCCAUAUAGACCAAAUGGAAAAUAUGGUGUGACUGCCAAAGCGGUUUCCUGCAUGUGCCUAGACCAACCGGAUUGAACCAAAGAUAGGAGCUCUAGAACAUAAUUUUUGUUAUUGUUUCGAUUAAAAAGGAUUUGAAGCCAGGACCAGAUUCUGUUAGAAAAAGGACAGUGGAGGAUUAAUUAAGUACUGCUCACUAGUUUCAUAAUUAUUGCCACAUACUUGUACAUGGAGAUGGUGUAGCAACCCUUCUCCCAAAGCUUGUCAUCCGUUGGCAGCUUCCUUUUAAUGAUGCGCUAGACAAAAAAUGAAGCUGAAGGCGAAAUAUGGGGCUGCCAAAGUGACUUGAAGGGAGGCUCAU
rnacentral:lncRNA from 1 species